rnacentral:rRNA from 1 species
UCUGGUCAUUUAGAGGAAGUAAAAGUCGUAACAAGGUUUCCGUAGGUGAACCUGCGGAAGGAUCAUUAGAGACCUGGGCUGCGCUUCUAGCGCGGCUCCAAACCAAUACACAGUGUGUUAUACUUCUCUUGCUUUGGCUCUGCCAAAGGUUUUUAAACACAGAAAUUUAUUUUCUCUAGAAACUAGUCAAUUUGAAUUUUAAUCUUCAAAACUUUCAACAACGGAUCUCUUGGUUCUCGCAACGAUGAAGAACGCAGCGAAAUGCGAUACGUAAUGUGAAUUGCAGGUUUUCGUGAAUCAUCGAAUCUUUGAACGCAUAUUGCGCUCUCUGGCAUUCCAGAGAGCAUGCCUGUUUGAGCGUCAUUUCUCUCUCAAGAUCCUCUAGGGGACUUGGUAUUGAGUGAUACUCUGUGUUAACUUGAAAUACUCUAGGCAGAGCUCCCCCUAGAAACCCUCUGGGCCGAAAUAAUGUAUUAGGUUCUACCAACUCGUUAUUUUCCAGACAGACUUCCAGGCAGAGCUCGGCUGAACAACCUUUCUAAGCUUGACCUCAAAUCAGGUAGGACUACCCGCUGAACUUAAGCAUAUCAAUAAGCGGAGGAA